rnacentral:rRNA from 1 species
GCCCGGUAGCUAAAUGCGGAAGAGAUAAGUGCUGAAAGCAUCUAAGCACGAAACUUGCCCCGAGAUGAGUUCUCCCUGACUCCUUGAGAGUCCUGAAGGAACGUUGAAGACGACGACGUUGAUAGGCCGGGUGUGUAAGCGCAGCGAUGCGUUGAGCUAACCGGUACUAAUGAACCGUGAGGCUUAACCUUACAACGCCGAAG